UGGUUGAUCCUGCCGGAGGCUACCGCUAUUGGAGUUCGAUUAAGCCAUGCGAGUCGCGAGAAAUUAGAUUCUCGGCGUACCGCUCAGUAACACGUGGGUAACCUGCCCUAUGCUGGAUAAUAACCUCGGGAAACUGAGAAUAAUGAUCCAUAGUUCACUACGCCUGGAACGGUGAGUGGAUGAAAGCUCCGGCGGCAUAGGAUGGGCCUGCGGCGUAUCAGGUUGUAGGGGGUGUAACGUACCCUCUAGCCCUCUACGCGUACGGGUGUUGGGAGACAUAGCCCGGAGAUGGAUUCUGAGACACGAAUCCAGACCCUACGGGGUGCAGCAGGCGCGAAAACUUGGCAAUGCGAGAAAUCGUGACCAGGGAACUCCAAGUGCAUGGGGUAAGACCCAUGCUUUUCUUGACUCUAAAUAGGUCUUGGAAUAAGGGGUGGGUAAGGACGGUGCCAGCCGCCGCGGUAAUACCGGCGCCUCAAGUGGUAGUCGCUUUUAUUGGGCCUAAAACGUCCGUAGCCGGUCUGAUACAUUCGUGGGUAAAUCAACCAGCUUAACUGGUUGAAUUCUGCGAGGACGGUCAGACUUGGGACCGGGAGAGGUGUGGGGUACGCUCAGGGUAGGGGUAAAAUCCUGUCAUCCUGAGCGGACCACCUGUUGCGAAGGCGCCACACUAGAACGGAUCCGACGGUCAGGGACGAAGCCUAGGGGCACGAACCGGAUUAGAUACCCGGGUAGUCCUAGGUGUAAACGCUGUGGACUUGAUGUUGGGGGUGCUCCGAGCACUCUCAGUGUCGAAGCGAAGGUGAUAAGUCCACUGCCUGGGAAGUACGGUCGCAAGGCUGAAACUUAAAGGAAUUGGCGGGGGAGCACCGCAACCUGAGGAUUGUGCGGUUUAAUUGGAUUCAACGCCGG
rnacentral:rRNA from 1 species